rnacentral:rRNA from 1 species
GUGGGGAGCAAACAGGAUUAGAUACCCUGGUAGUCCACGCCCUAAACGAUGCUGACUAGUUGUUCGGGAUUUACAUCCUGAGUAACGUAGCUAACGCGUGAAGUCAGCCGCCUGGGGAGUACGGUCGCAAGAUUAAAACUCAAAGGAAUUGACGGGGACCCGCACAACCGGUGGAUGAUGUGGAUUAAUUCGAUGCAACGCGAAAAACCUUACCUACCCUUGACAUGUCACUAACGAAGUAGAGAUACAUUAGGUGCUCGUAAGAGAAAGUGAACACAGGUGCUGCAUGGCUGUCGUCAGCUCGUGUCGUGAGAUGUUGGGUUAAGUCCCGCAACGAGCGCAACCCUGUCUUUAGUUGCUACGCAAGAGCACUCUAAAGAGACUGCCGGUGACAAACCGGAGGAAGUGGGGAUGACGUCAAGUCUCAUGGCCCUUAUGGGUAGGGCUUCACACGUCAUACAAUGGUGCAUACAGAGGGUUUCCAACCCGCGAGGGGGAGCUAAUCUCAGAAUGCAUCGUAGUCCGGAUCGUAGUCUGCAACUCGACUACGUGAAGCUGGAAUCGUAGUAAUCGCGGAUCAGAAUGUCGCGGUGAAUACGUUCCCGGGUCUUGUACACACCGCCCGUCAUACCAUGGG